ACGUAGGGGGCAAGCGUUAUCCGGAUUUACUGGGUGUAAAGGGAGCGUAGACGGUGUGGCAAGUCUGAUGUGAAAGGCAUGGGCUCAACCUGUGGACUGCAUUGGAAACUGUCAUGCUUGAGUGCCGGAGGGGUAAGCGGAAUUCCUAGUGUAGCGGUGAAAUGCGUAGAUAUUAGGAGGAACACCAGUGGCGAAGGCGGCUUACUGGACGGUAACUGACGUUGAGGCUCGAAAGCGUGGGGAGCAAACAG
rnacentral:rRNA from 1 species